ensembl:lncRNA
CAGGACUCUUAUCGAACAUGUGAAGUUUGGGCAAGAUCGGACAUUUUAUGCCUGAGUUACAAUAACUUUUAUUCCCAUGGCGAGACAUCAAACUUUGUGACGGCGCCAUGGACACGCCCUUUAACGAAAACUCAAGAUCUUCACAAUUUAACAUCGCACAGGCCUUUAGAAUAGAGUGACUGAAAAAAAAAAAUUAUGUCAUAAAAUUUCUCGGGGUAGUUUGUUACAGUGUAAAAUAUGUCACUUCCUGUUGCCAGUAGGUGGCGCUAUGACUAUAACUGAAUAUGGGCAUAUCAAUCUGUUCAGGUCAGGAGUCUUAUCAAACAUGUGAAGUCUGUGGCAGAUUGGACAUUGUAUGUCUGAGUUAUAGCAACUUCAUUUUUCAUGGCGAAUCAUCGAAAUUCGUCAGGCCGCCACAGACACGCCCUUCAACGAAAACUCAAGAUCUUCGCAAUUUAACAUCGCAAAGGCCUUUAGAUUAGGCAUACCAAAUUUGGUGUUGAUCUGAAUAAAUCUCUAGGAGGAGUUCGUUAAAAUACAAGGCAUGCAAAUGACAAAAAUGAUGCAAAAUUUGCUCAUAAAAUUAAAAAUAACCGACUUCCUGUUGGGUUUCGGAUAUUGCUCCAAGAGUCUUUUUUGUAGGUACUGAUGCUUUACAUAUGUGUGCCAAUUUUCGUGCAUGUACGUGAAACACAGCUCGAGGGCUGUUGAUUUUUUUACGAUAGGUGGCGCUGUCGAGCCAUUUUGCCACACCCUCUUCUGAAACCUAUAUCAUCCGUAAAUUUUCACCAGGUCUGACGCGUGUGCAAAGUUUCAGGACUUUUCGAGCAUGUUUAGGCCCUCAAAAAUGCGAUUCAUUUUGGAGAAGAAGAAGAAGAAGAAGAAGAAGAAGAAGAAGAAUAAUAAUAAAUAUAGCUGCAAGCAGCGAUGGCGGGCCCGAGCCGUCAGCGCAAACGCCACCCCGGUGGCAUCAGGAAAGCUGUGCCCAGCGGACACAUACA